CCUACGGGGGGCUGCAGUGGGGAAUUUUCCGCAAUGGGCGAAAGCCUGACGGAGCAAUACCGCGUGAGGGAUGAAGGCCUAUGGGUUGUAAACCUCUUUUUUCAGGGAGGAAUAAAAUGACGUGUACCUGAAGAAUAAGCAUCGGCUAACUCCGUGCCAGCAGCCGCGGUAAGACGGGGGAUGCAAGUGUUAUCCGGAAUCACUGGGCGUAAAGCGUCUGUAGGUGGUUAAAUAAGUCAACUGUUAAAUCUUGAGGCUCAACCUCAAAAUCGCAGUCGAAACUGUUUGACUAGAGUAUAGUAGGGGUAAAGGGAAUUUCCAGUGGAGCGGUGAAAUGCGUAGAGAUUGGAAAGAACACCGAUGGCGAAGGCACUUUACUGGGCUAUUACUAACACUGAGAGACGAAAGCUAGGGUAGCAAAUGGGAUUAGAUACCCGUGUAGUC
rnacentral:rRNA from 1 species